ACCCUCUUAGUAUAACAAGUAUAUUUAACUUCCAAUUAAAAGGACCAUUAAAUGGAGAGAGUA
rnacentral:tRNA from 1 species